UGUGGUUAGACUGGCUCCAGGUCUCUCUGGGAAACGUAGUUUGGGUCCAAACAGCCAACAGAAGAUCACCAGGUGGUGGCGAUCGAGGCGAGGCAGGUUUGAGAAGCUACCGGAAAUGGGUUCUUCUUCAGACAGGAAGGUCGGUGCGAGUCUGAGAGCGAUCGUCCUGCAUCCGGGCUAGUGCAGGGCUGAAGAUAGGCUGAAGGGGCCCAGAGGAAGAGAAGCUGGUGAAUGUAUAGAUGUGGGAUCUGACUGUCACAUUAUAAAAGGAAAUGUGUCCAGUCUUCCAGUCCAGGAAAAUCCCCACACGUUUGGGGGGCUCACUCAUUCGCAGGUGUGAAAGAGAAAGGACCUGCCACAGGAUGCUCCCAGCCUUACCAAGAAGCGUGCCGUCUUCAUAUGCCCCUGUGAUCUCUGCUCCUCCCCAGAUUUCCUCAGCUCCUUCAGAUGCUCCAGCUGCUUCUGAAUUUGCUCCUGGAGAAAGAACAUUUUUUAGAUGCUUACCCUUGGCUCCUGCUUUAGCUACUGUCAACUCCAGAGGAGAAAAUCUGCUUCCAGGAGCAUAAGGAGAAGUAUUCAUGAAGGAGGAAGAAUGAAUCCAUUAUAAUGGGGAGCAGAGCCAAGAGGCUCCCUUCUCACCUGAAAAUGAAAGUACUUCUGGAUUUGAGGACUUGUGAAACAGACCACCUGUCAUCUUUCCCAGAGUGUCUGGAUAUCCAGUUCCUUCUUCCUCAAAGGAUGCUGUAGAUUUUUCUUCUCUAGCCAAAGAUGCCCUGGAAAGUGUGAUCCUGGAUAUACCCUCCUCCAUGACCAUGGAAUAUUCUGGAUUCCUGGAGCCAUUCUCUAGAGUCACAGCAGCCCCUACUCUGGAGGUGGCUGCUGAGUCUGCAUUUCCAUUUCUCAUUUCCUCAAGAGAGGGCCCCAGUGCAGAGCCCCUGGAGCCUUCCUGCUGAGCUGGCAUUCCUCCGGAGCUGGGUGCUCACCCCAUUCUCCUUGUUCCCUG